GUGAACACAUGCGGAAUCAUUCGGAUUCAGUACUCACGUGGGAAGGUCCGGGCAGGCCGUACUAAAUUGGGCCCGCAAGGGCACGUCGUGGAGCACGACGUCCGACUUACUAGGGAUGAGCGCAUUGU
rnacentral:ribozyme from 1 species